rnacentral:ncRNA from 1 species
CAAAGGUUUGGUCCUGGCCUUAUUAUUAGUUAUCAGUAGGAUUAUACAUGCAAGUAUCCGCUAACCAGUGAAAAUGCCCUUUUACUCGACCACCUGGAUCGAUCCCCAAGGAGCCGGCAUCAAGCACACAACAGUAGCUCAAAACGCCUUGCUUAGCCACACCCCCACGGGAUACAGCAGUAAUAAAAAUUAAGCAAUAAACGAAAGUUUGACUAAGCCAUACUGAUAGAGGGUUGGUCAAUCUCGUGCCAGCCACCGCGGUCAUACGAUUAACCCAAAUUAAUAACAACCGGCGUAAAGUGUGGUUAAAAAAAUAUGACAUAAUAAAGUUAAAUUAGCUCUCUGCUGUAAAAAGCUAAAGACCUAAAGAAAAUAGACUACUAAAGUGACUUUACCCAGAUAUGAACCCACGAUAGCUAAGAUACAAACUGGGAUUAGAUACCCCACUAUGCUUAGCCUUAAACCUUGAUAUUUAUUAACAAGAAUAUCCGCCAGAGAACUACAAGCAACCGCUUAAAACUCAAAGGACUUGGCGGUGCUUCACAACCCACUAGAGGAGCCUGUUACAUAAUCGAUAAACCCCGAUAAACCCUACCAUCACUUGCUAAAUCAGUCUAUAUACCGCCAUCUUCAGCAAACCCUUAAAAGGAACAACAGUAAGCUCAAACGUACUCACAAAAACGUUAGGUCAAGGUGUAACCUAUGUGAUGGAGCAUAAUGGGCUACAUUUUCUACGCAAGAACAUUUACGAAUUCUAAUAUGAAAUUAUAGGAUAAAGGAGGAUUUAGCAGUAAGCCAGGAAUAGAGAGCCUGACUGAAUCUGGCCAUGAAGCACGCACACACCGCCCGUCACCCUCCUCAAAUGGCUAGAGACAAAAAAUUAUAUUUUAACUCAACAUGUCAUAAGAGGAGACAAGUCGUAACAAGGUAAGCAUACUGGAAAGUGUGCUUGGAUUACU